rnacentral:rRNA from 1 species
GAUGAACGCUAGCUACAGGCUUAACACAUGCAAGUCGAGGGGCAGCAUUUCAGUUUGCUUGCAAACUGGAGAUGGCGACCGGCGCACGGGUGAGUAACACGUAUCCAACCUGCCGAUAACUCGGGGAUAGCCUUUCGAAAGAAAGAUUAAUACCCGAUGGUAUAAUCAGACCGCAUGGUCUUGUUAUUAAAGAAUUUCGGUUAUCGAUGGGGAUGCGUUCCAUUAGGCAGUUGGUGAGGUAACGGCUCACCAAACCUUCGAUGGAUAGGGGUUCUGAGAGGAAGGUCCCCCACAUUGGAACUGAGACACGGUCCAAACUCCUACGGGAGGCAGCAGUGAGGAAUAUUGGUCAAUGGGCGCAGGCCUGAACCAGCCAAGUAGCGUGAAGGAUGACUGCCCUAUGGGUUGUAAACUUCUUUUAUAUGGGAAUAAAGUUUUCCACGUGUGGAAUUUUGUAUGUACCAUAUGAAUAAGGAUCGGCUAACUCCGUGCCAGCAGCCGCGGUAAUACGGAGGAUCCGAGCGUUAUCCGGAUUUAUUGGGUUUAAAGGGAGCGUAGGUGGACAGUUAAGUCAGUUGUGAAAGUUUGCGGCUCAACCGUAAAAUUGCAGUUGAUACUGGCUGUCUUGAGUACAGUAGAGGUGGGCGGAAUUCGUGGUGUAGCGGUGAAAUGCUUAGAUAUCACGAAGAACUCCGAUUGCGAAGGCAGCUCACUGGACUGCAACUGACACUGAUGCUCGAAAGUGUGGGUAUCAAACCAGG